GAUGAACGCUGGCGGCGUGCCUAAUACAUGCAAGUAGAACGCUGAAGGAGGAGCUUGCUCUUCUGGAUGAGUUGCGAACGGGUGAGUAACGCGUAGGUAACCUUGCUGGUAGCGGGGGAUAACUAUUGGAAACGAUAGCUAAUACCGCAUGACAACAGGUAUUGCAUGAUAACUGUUUAAAAGGGGCAACUGCGCCACUACCAGAUGGACCUGCGUUGUAUUAGCUAGUUGGUGAGGUAACGGCUCACCAAGGCGACGAUACAUAGCCGACGCGGGAAGGUGAUUGGCCCACAUGGGACUGGGAACAGGCUCAGGACUCCUAGGGGGGGAAGCGUAGGGAAUUUUUGGACAUGGGGGGAAGUCUGGCCGCGGCACGGCGGGUGGGGGAAGGAGGUUUUCGGAUUGUAAAGCUCUGUUGUAAGGGAAGAAAGAGUGUGAGAGUGGAAAGUUCACACUGUGACGGUAUCUUAACAGAAAGCAACGGCUAACUACGUG
rnacentral:rRNA from 1 species